rnacentral:rRNA from 1 species
UUGGAGGGCAGUCUGGUGCCAGCAGCCGCGGUAAUUCCAGCUCCAAUAGCGUAUAUUAAAGUUGUUGCAGUUAAAAAGCUCGUAGUUGAAUUUCGGGAUCAGAUUGACGGUCGUGCCUCGGUACGCACUGGUAUUAUUGGUUCCUACCUUCUGAAGAACCGCGAUGUCAUUAAUUUGGUGUCGUGGGGAAUCAGGACUGUUACUUUGAAAAAAUUAGAGUGUUUAAAGCAGGCUUACGCUUGAAUACAUUAGCAUGGAAUAAUGAAAUAGGACGUUUGAUUCUAUUUUGUUGGUUUCUAGGAUUGACGUAAUGAUUAAUAGGGAUAGUUGGGGGCAUUAGUAUUCAAUUGUCAGAGGUGAAAUUCUUGGAUUUAUUGAAGACUAACUACUGCGAAAGCAUUUGCCAAGGAUGUUUUCAUUAAUCAAGAACGAAAGUUAGGGGAUCGAAGACGAUCAGAUACCGUCGUAGUCUUAACCAUAAACUAUGCCGACUAGGGAUCGGAUGAUGUUAAUUUUUUAAUGACUCAUUCGGCGCCUUACGGGAAAC